AAGUCGUAACAAGGUAUCCGUAGGUGAACCUGCGGAUGGAUCAUUAUGGAGCUGGCCUGCAUGUGUGUGGUGCGUUCUGGAGAGUGGGCGGCGCGGCAUAUGCUGCCGCCGCCCGCAGAGACGUGGUGGACGCGGCGCGAUAUCACACCUCAGCGCGACAACUUUUAGCAAUGGAUCUCUUGGCUCUC
rnacentral:misc_RNA from 1 species